GCGUCCACGGAUAAGGGUUGAGGGAGCAGUUUUAAGGGUCUGGAGGAAAAGGAAGCUUGGGGGUCGCAGAGAGAGGGUCCGGGAAGCUCGUCGCAAGAGGCUCUCAAGGUAAUAGCAGAGACUAAAGAACUUGUCUGAAGUUAAGGAACUUCUGGAGAGAGAGGCUUAAAAUUUGGAUGCAUACCGUUUCUUUAAAAGAUAACACACUCACUUUGGAAGCUGAGUUUUGAAGAUACCAGUGCCACAGAGGGAAAAAGCUCAGUUCAUUGACUCAGCCUGGAGA